UAUGACGGUACCCUUUCGAAUAAGAGGUUGCUAACUCUGUGCCAGCAGCAGCGGUAAUACAGAGACCUCGAGCGUUAUCCGGAUUUACUGGGCGUAAAGCGUCUGUAGGGGGUUUGUUAAGUUCCAAGUAAAAUCUUAAGGCUCAACUUUAAGUUCGCUUGGAAAACUAAUAAACUGGAGUCCAGCAGAGGUGCAUGGAACUUGCGGUGUAGGAGUGAAAUCCGUUGAUAUCGCAAGGAACACCAAAGGCGAAGGCAUUGCACUGGGCUGGUACUGACCCUGAGAGACGAAAGCGUGGGGAGCAAAACGGAUUAGAUACCCGUGUAGUCCACGCCGUAAACGAUGGAUACUAGAUGUUCGGGGAUUCGACCCCCUGGGUGUCACAGCUAACGCGUUAAGUAUCCCGCCUGGGAAGUACGGCCGCAAGGCUAAAACUCAAAGGAAUAGACGGGGAUCCGCACAAGCGGUGGAGCGUCUGGUUUAAUUUGAUAGUAAGCAAUGGACCUCACCAAGGUUUGACAUCCUAUGACAACCCUGGAAACAGGGCUUCCUUCGGGCAUAGUGACAGGUGCUGCAUGGUCGUCGUCAGUUCGUGCCGUGAGGUGUUCCGUUAAGUCGGGAAACGAACGAAACCCUCGUCGCAUGUUACAAAUUUCAUGCGAGACUGCCCGGGUCAACCGGGAGGAAGGCGGGGAUGACGUCAGAUCAGCAUGGCCCUUAUACCUUGGGCUACACAGGCGCUACAAUGGCCGGUACAAAGGGUUGCAAAACCGCGAGGUGAAGCUAAUCCCAUAAAGCCGGUCCAAGUUCGGAUUGGAGGCUGCAACUCGCCUCCAUGAAGUUGGAAUCGCUAGUAAUCGUGGAUCAGCCAUACCACGGUGAAUACGUUCCCGGAUCUUGUACUCACCGCCCGUCACACCAAGAGAGUUGGUAGCUCCUGAAG
rnacentral:rRNA from 1 species